rfam:Triticum urartu cultivar G1812 contig403104, whole genome shotgun sequence.
CAUGUACUCCCUCCGUCCCAAAAUUCUUGUCUUGGAUUUGUCUAAAUUGGGAUAUAUCUAAAACUAAAACGUGACUUGAUACAUCCAUAUUUAGAUAAAUCUAAAACAAGAAUUUUGGGACGGAUGGAGUAUAUA